CUGAGAAUCUCCAUAUGCUGCAGGUGAGGCCCUAGAAAAAGACAACAACAACAACAACAAAAAGUAAGGAAUAGUGCCAGGGCAUUAGUAAAAAGAAAAAAAUUGGGGUGAAUAUUAGUUGGCCCAUGACGGGUUGUCUUCAAGGGUCUCACUUUACUCUCUGCUACCUGGAGCCACUGGACUAAUGCCAGCUCCUUGGCUGAGUGGUGGUCCUCAGACUUCUGUCUCCACACCUUCACAGUCCUUCCUUCUUACCUACUGUGCCUUCCUCCUGCAGGCCCUGAAAAGCAUUAUACUUUUCUUAUAAUUGGCAAAGUCCCUGAUUUGGAGAAAGCAGGGGUUAAAAAUCUGUCUUUUGACUGGAAAUAUGUGCCUGGUAACUUGGAUUUUUGAAUUAUUUUGGGUAUUGUCACAUAUGAUUCUCUGUAAUAUUCACACAGUAUAAUAAAUACUUAUGGGAUAUUAUUGAUAUUUUAUAGAUAAUUAUUAUAAAAGUAUGAUUACAUAGUUUGAUUUAUAUCAGAAAAAAAUUCAACUUCUAAAGGGCCUACCGAUAAUAAUGUUUUAAAGUAAUUCAUUUGCAAAUUAAUUUUUGUAUCUUAACCAAGUCACUAUUUUACAUUUAAUACAAAUUUAUUAGUAACAGAAACAUAAAAGAAUAUGUACAUAUAGAAUUAGAAUUCAUAAUACUUUUCAUUUGUGUUUGAAAUGCUGAAGUUUGUGGAAAAAAAUCAGUGGUGACCAGGUAAAGUGAAUGAUAUAUCUAAGAAUGUACAUCCUUGAAGAUACUCCAUCAUUGUAAAAGGACAUAGCCACAAGCAUUUUAUGCAGCUGUAUGUAAAUUCCAACAGAGCAACCUGCACACUUGCAAUAGGUAUCUUUAUCUUUUCAAAAGCACACUAUGAACAAUUUGUGUGAAUUUUUUUUCUGUUCAGACUCAUACAUUUAAAUCUAAAGAAUACGAUGUCUCUGAGCACGGCUUUUAAAAGUACUGAUUUAAUUUGAAAAUGAAGGUGAGAUUAUUAAGCAUUCAUUAAAAUGAGCCUCUACCUCAUCAGUUCUUAAGAAGCCAUCCUGGCCUUGGACAGUUCUAGUUUGGGAACAUUAACUUCACUUGGACUCCUUGCUGUAUAAUGACAGCCUCAUUACGAAUAAGGCAACUCGCCUUCAUAAAUGAGCUGACUUGUGAAUGGAUUUCUAAGUAAUUAUUUAAUAAUACCAUGAAAUUAUAUCUUUCGAUCAUAUGAAUGAGUCAGAGAAUUUUUAUAUGAACAUUUUUCAGCUUGAUUUGAAGCAGACUAUUUAUGCCCGUGAAAUGACAGCCGCAGACAGAUUUUGCUGACAAAAAAGAAUAGCUGCAUUUGCAAAAAAAUUACUGUCUGAAGACCACAAGGCAAAGAGAAAAACUGGCAGAUAGUGAAAUGCCUUCUGAAAAUAAGACAACCACCAAAUGGCAGUAAACCAUGUAAAGCAAUAAACGAUAACGUGGGACUAGUCAAGUGACUGUCAUUCUGACCAUUUUCAGGAGCAGCAGCAAGAUAAGGCAACUCUAAGCUCAAGUAAAACUCAAGUAAAGACUUAUUGUUCCUUCUAGAAACCCUUGGAUUUUGAGAUGAAAAGAUGCAGCCUUUCUUCAUGUUUAUGGAACCACAAGAGUCUGAUGCUAAAUAAACCUUAUGGAAAUUAGUGAGUGAUCACGUGCACAUGAGAAAAAGUAUGUGAACUGAAAGGAGGAGGACACCUGAAAAAUAGGAAACUUCCACUUUAGCAGAUAAAUAGCUGGUUCCUGAAAGGUGGAAAAUAAACUAGCUUGGUUGCUAAGGGCAACUCUAAAUGCUACUUCUUCAAGCGUGACAUUGUAUUAGAAGAUUCAUGUCUGUGCCUCUGCUAUUUAUCUAUCUGCAAGUGAUUAAGAUGAUGCUAUUUUAAGUCAGGUGUUCACACAACUGUCAGCAAUCAUGAGUUGUGAAGCAGAGAGCAUAAGCACAUGGGCUUAAAUUCUAUACCUUAUGUGAUGCCCAAAGCACAAAAGUGAAAGACAGUGAAGGCUAGGAACAUGAAGAAAUGCGGACUUCUUAUCAAGUGGAAUGUUGCCCCUGUCAAGUAAGGCUGACAUUUGUUAGACUGUAACAGGAUGCCCAUCUGUUUUGGUCAAAAUGCAAUUCCUGUACAAUGGAAAAUUACCUGAGAUUAACUUGAUCUAUUUGUUUUGCAGCUCUGUCCAGUUACCUUAUAUAAAGUUUACAAAAAUAAGUCAUGAAAUGAAACUAAAUCAGGUUAAAGUUACAAUAAAAAAUUUAUAAGAAUGCCUAAAUUUGCUCACAUAGCAUCAGGACGAAUAAAAUUAUAUAAUGUUUGGCUGAAUAUUAUUUCAAAUGAUAUUUUUAAUUAAUGUUGGAUAAUGUUGCAUGGAAUGUAAGCAUUUAAAAUAAGUCUGGUACAGCUUUGAUAUAUAACUGACAAAUAAAAAAUUGUAUCUAUUUUAAAGGAACACAGUGCAAUGUUUUGAUAUACAUAUACGUUGUGAAAUGAUUACCACAAUCUAGCUGAUUAACAUAUCCAUCACCUUACAUAGUUAUUUUCUUUGUUUUUUGUAGUGAUAACACUUAAAAGUCUACUUUCUCAGCAAAGUUCAAGUGUUCAUUACAUUGUUAAUUAACUAAUGUCACCACUCUGAACACUAGAUCUCCACAACUUACUCAUCUUGUAUAAGUGAAACUUGGUCCCCUUUAAUAAACAUCUCCCUAUUUUCCCCACUUCCCAGCUCCUGGCAACCACCAAUCUACUCUCUGCUUCUAUGAGUUUUGGCUUUUUUACAUUCCACAUAUAAGUGAAAUCAGGUUAUAAUUUAAAAUCCUAAGCACUUAAUGUUGUUACUCUCAUGGAGUUUGGGAUGUUGAUCUGCACUGAAAGAAGAAAAACUAACUCCAUUUUUCUAAUGAUAUCAUGGUCAUUGAAAAAAUAAAGUCUUGUUACAACUUUGGCAUCUGGUAUUUUCUACUUGAACAAAAGGUUUUGAGGUUAUAGGAUAGAAUGCUAGUUGCCUACAGACUGUGCUUUCCAUUCUGCCACUAGAAUUUGCAUUAAGUUGAAAGCAGAGCCUCCUUUUAUCUUUGUCUUUCUUGAAGCAUGCCAGUCAAUGCCUUUAGACAAGAUAUUUUAAUCUGUAGUGCCCCAUCUACAUUAACUAUAAUGUGGAUAUUAAAAUUCACAAAAUAACUUGACUCUUCAUUCACUAUACUCUAAAAAGCAAUUCCUAAUUUUUAGUAUAAAAAUAAUAUAAAGACUGUGAAAAGGAAUUACCCAGAUAGAGAAAAAAGCUUUGACAUAGUCUGUAUGUAGCAUAAACUUAACAUCAAAGUUAUCACUUUGCUUUGCACCUGCAAGCAGAUAAGUCACCAGCAGACUGCUGAGCACAGGUGUGAUGUGCGCAAUUCAUCUGAGACUCCUAAACAGAAUAAACUGCUCUAUUUUCUUCACCAUGAGGCCUUUGAGUGGAUCUUUAUGAAGAUUUUGACAGAGUGAACUUUUCUACAUCCCUAAAAGUAGUUAAGUCCAAAUUCAGUCCCAUUGUUUGUGCCAAUGCAAUAUAAAAAAGUCUGUGAUAUUACUUGGUACAUCAAAAUCGAUGGAUCAGUUCUCAAAAAGCUGAUAAAGAAGCAUAUUAUAUAAUAAUGUUCUGUAUUUCUUAAUAAAAGAGUGACUACAUCUGGUCCCAGUGAGACAUGGUGAAGCGAUUUUCUUUAACAAGCUCAGCAGGCAACUCCAAACUCAGAGCAAUGGACUGAUACUUAUGUAAGAGCUGGGGUGUGGAGGUAAUUUUUAGAGUGGCUUUCCAGGAACCAAGUCAGAAUCUCAUUCAAUAGAUCUUUUGGGGGUCCAGAAAUAUGAAUGCUUGACAAUCCUAGAUCCCUAAGUAUCUUUGAUGCAAAGAUUUAUAGACUGGACUUGUUAUUAAAAGUUAGAUUUACGGAGGUACUAUUUACAUAAAUAAAAAUCACUUUCUUUAAGAGUAGUUUGAAGAGUUGUGUUACCACCAAAAUUAAUAAUAUAGGGAGCAGUUUCAUCACCACAAAACUCUUUCUCCUGCCUUUUUGCACUUAAUGCCUCUUCCUGCCCCAAAUACCUGAAAACCAGUCUUUUGUGGUUUUGUUAGUACAAUUUUGCCUUUAGGAGAUUGACAUAUAAAAGGAGUCAUAGGGAGUUUCUGUCGUGCCUCAGUGGUUAACGAAUCUGACUAGGAACCAUUAGGUUGUGCGUUCGAUCCCUGGCCUCGCUCAGUGGGUUAAGGAUCCAGAGUUGCCGCCAAGUAGCUAUGCCACUUGGUGGUACUAUCAACAAUGUGUGAUAAAUCAAUUUUUGCUAUAUAUUUGUCAGAAUAGGAUAUUGGUCAUUUUUAUA